rnacentral:rRNA from 1 species
AGAAUCAACGCUGGCGGCGUGCCUCAGACAUGCAAGUCGAACGCGAAAGUCCCCUUCGGGGGGCAGGUAGAGUGGCGCACGGGUGAGUAACACGUAGGUAAUCUACCUUUGGAUGGGGAAUAACAACCGGAAACGGUUGCUAAUACCGCAUAAUGCAGCGGCACCUAAUGGUGACAGUUGUUAAAGCGGGGGAUCGAAAGACCUCGCGUCUAAAGAGGAGCCUGCGGCGGAUUAGCUAGUUGGUAAGGUAAUGGCUUACCAAGGCGACGA